UACGAAGGGUGCAAGCGUUAAUCGGAAUUACUGGGCGUAAAGCGUGCGUAGGCGGUUCGUUAAGUCUGUUGUGAAAGCCCCGGGCUCAACCUGGGAAUGGCAAUGGAUACUGGCGAGCUAGAGUGUGUCAGAGGAUGGUGGAAUUCCCGGUGUAGCGGUGAAAUGCGUAGAGAUCGGGAGGAACAUCAGUGGCGAAGGCGGCCAUCUGGGACAACACUGACGCUGAAGCACGAAAGCGUGGGGAGCAAACAGG
rnacentral:rRNA from 1 species